CCGCAACCCACAUCCCACACCCCACAUCCCAUACCCCGCAACCCACACCCCACAUCCCGUACCAAACAUCCUGUACCCCAUACCCCACAUCCCGCACCCCACAUCCCAUACCAAACAUCCUGCACCCCACACCCCACAUUCCACACCCCACAUCCCGCACCCCACAUCCCACACCCCACAUCUCACACCCCACAUCCCACACCCUACAUCCCACACCCUACAUCCCACACCCUACAUCCCACACCCCACAUCCCAUACCCCGCAACCCACACCCCACAUCCCGUACCAAACAUCCUGUACCCCAUACCCCACAUCCCGCACCCCACAUCCCAUACCAAACAUCCUGCACCCCACACCCCACAUUCCACACCCCACAUCCCGCACCCCACAUCCCACACCCCACAUCUCACACCCCACAUCCCACACCCUACAUCCCACACCCUACAUCCCACACCCUACAUCCCACACCCCACAUCCCAUACCCCACAACCCACACCCCACAUCCCGUACCAAACAUCCUGCACCCCACACCCCACAUCCCGCACCCCACAUCCCAUAUCCUCCACCCCACAGCCAAAACUGUGCGACAGAACCAGGGGGGUUCCAUCCGCUGCAAAACAGGUCCUAAAUGGGUGCAGGCCCCAAAUGGAUGCAGGUCCUGAAUGGGGACGAGUCCCACAUGGGUGCGGGUCCCAGAUGAAUGCUCACCCCAAAUGGGUGCGGGUCCCGAAUGGAUUCAGGUCCCAAAUGGGUGCGGGUCCAAAAUGAGUUCAAAUCCUACAUGGGUGCACAUUCCAGACAGGUGUGGAUCCCAAAUGGGUGCAGGUCCCACGAGGGUUCAUAUCCCAAAUGGGUGCCCAUCCCAAAUAGGUGCGGAUCCCAAAUGGAUGCGGGUCCCAAAUAGGUGCAGAUCUGAAAUGGAUGUGGAUCCCAAACGGAUGUGGGUUCUAAAUAGGUGUGGAUCCCAAUGGGUCCCAAAUGGGAGCCCAUCCCAAAUAGGUGUGGAUCCCAAUGGGUCCCAAAUGGGAGCCCAUCCCAAAUAGGUGUGGGUCCCAAUGGGUGCAGGCCCCAAAUGGGUGCCCAUCCCAAAAAGGUGCGGGUCCCAAUGGGUGCAGGUCCCGUACGGGUGCCAAUCCCAAAUAGGAGUGGAUCCCAAUGGGUGCAGGCCCCAAA
ensembl:lncRNA